rnacentral:tRNA from 1 species
UCUCGAAUAGCUCAGUUGGUUAGAGCAUCUGACUGUUAAUCAGAGGGUCGCUGGUUCAAGUCCAGCUUCGAGAG